CCCCCCCCAAAAAAAAGAAAGAAAAAGAAAAGAAAACUGAGUUGGUUAUGAGCAGGAUAUGGCUGAAGAAAUUCCUCCGGUCUGUCUGGCGAAAAGUGGUAAGAUCGGUGGUGCUGAAGGGCUGGGCUCUGAAGCUGCCAAAUGCUGACCCCGGGGUGCAUGAGAAAGACACCACUCUGAUUGUUGAAGAGAUGAAGUUGCAGUACUUCUGCACACUGUAAAUGUUACUGCCCUCACUGUUCGAUCCGUGUUGAAAGCAUCUGCAAGAGGAUUCAGAGGUAGAAGGGGAAAAAGCCAGUCAUCAUUUUGUGGAAAGGUGCUCUGACGCCGCAGCUAUGCUCAGUGCGUGUCUCCACUCCUCUCCGACUUUGAGGCCCAACAGAGUGGUGAAGGCAACUAGGUGACAACAAGGGAAAGUUGUUUAAACCUCCCCAUCGUCUCCACUUGCCACCUUGUUUUUCAUCCCAGAACUAUAAAACAAUUUUCAGAAAUCUUCCACAAGGAACAGCUGCACUCUUUUAAUCAUCUCGACAAUGUGUUGGUUUUCCCUGAACCUUCCUAACCUCCCUUUCUGGUCUCAUGUCCUGGCUCCCCCCGGAGCCCACCCUGGCCCUCUCCUGGCUUCCUUCUGACUGUCUGGUCUCCUGUGCAGUGGUGGACAGAGGAUGUACCCGUGAUUGUGAGCUUGACAUCUGCAGCCAUGUGCUCACCUUGGCACUGCAGGCCCACACCCCACCUGCCUGUUGCCCUUUCUGAGGCUGUCCAAUGACUGGGUUAGUGAAUGAAUGAGUAAAUCUCCCUGGCUUGGGAAGGAAACCACUAAAAUACUGGUUCCUUAAAACUCCCCAUAUCAUAAAUGUUUUCACUCAGCCCUUCUUAACUCUGGCAGAAAGUGGUGUUUUACAAAUAAUUUUGGUCACUAUCUUGGUCAUUAAUUAAGUGAUAUUUGGGGCUGGGGAUUUAGCUCAGUGGUGAAACCACUGAGCUAAAUCCCCGGCACCCUGCUCUCUUUUUAUGUGAGCCUCUCUCAAAACCUACCCACGCAGGGAAGAUACACAGAAUAACCAUUUCCUGCAGAACUCAGCUUGGCUCAGGCCCUCCAGAGAAAAACCUCCAGGUUUCCUGAAGGCCCUGGAGAGCUGGGUCUUGGUGGUGUCCCUUGUGCUGUGGGUCUGAGCUGAGUGGCACUAAAGGAACCUACAGGGUCACCAGCAGAGCAGAGGACUCGUCUCACCUGGGGUUGCUACACGGCCCCACAGGAGUGCGAACUUCCUCAGUAAACGGGACCCUUCGGUGGCCUCUGUCCUCCAUGUGGGACCAAGUCUAGGAAAAACAAGUGUAUGCAGAGAUGUACCUGAUUAAAAACUGAUGUGGUUUAGAAUUUUGGCAACUCCACCACAGCCGUGUUCCCUGAGCCACUUCAGGCUGGACCACUGCCUGUCAAAAAGAUGUUACAAGGAAGGUUAUAGAGUUGUCAGCCUUUUCAUACUCAAUAGCUACAAAUCUGACCUGGAAGACAAUUCCCCAAAACUGCAGCAUCCGUGCUAUAACAGUAAUUCACACUGGUAUGUGUUUUAUGCCUGUAUAAGAGAAAUGGCUAAACUGGGGUGGAACUUCAGGCCUGAACUGACCCACUUCUCACAGUGGCUGCUUGGAUUCCUUGUGAACAUGCCCUUCAGUGCUCACUCAGCUGUGCCUUGGAAACUUCCAAGUAACUAGGCACUGAAAUCACUGGUUUUUGUUUGUUUUGUUUUUGGUACAGGGGAUUGAACUCAGGACCUUGUGCUUGCAAGGCAGGCCGAAGAACCACUGAGCUAAAUCCCCAGCUGAAAUCAUUGUUUUUAAGCAGCUGUCCUCACUAAGUAAUCCCUCCUUACACUGCACCUCAUGCAGAGUACUUCCUUCCAGCUUUCUUCUGCACAUGCUGGCUGUCCGUCUUUUCAUGUCUCCGCCGUGACUGUGAAAGUCAUGUCCCUACUGGAAUAUAAGUACACUCCCAAAUUUCCUUGUCUUCACAGUCAUCAACCCAGCUUCUUCCAAGCUUUUCCUUGGCCUGGCUUUGCACCUCUAGAUUAUCUUGGCUGUGUCCUUAGCACGCAGUCUGGCUGUUCUAAGCACCUGGAAUGGUGAUGCCCAGAACUAACUAUCCUGACUGAGGCCUGGCCAAGCACCUGAGUGAAGCUGCUGCAGUACCCUUCUCAAAUGCCCUUGUUCCUCCAGCAGAGCCUCGAGUGCACUGUGUCUGACAGAGACCACAGCACUUCCUGUACUUGCCAUACACCACUGUUAAUCUCCACCUUCCUAAGCUUGUUCCCAUUGACUCAUUUGGAUUGUUACCCAGCCCCUAAAACACAGCAGGA
ensembl:lncRNA